UCCCUGAUGGUUCAGUGGUUAAGAAUUUGUCUUGCCAUGCAGGAAAGGCAAGUUCGAUUCCUGCUCAGGGAA
rnacentral:tRNA from 1 species